GAUGAACGCUGGCGGCGUGCCUAAUACAUGCAAGUCGAGCGAACGGACGAGAAGCUUGCCUUUCUGAUGUUAGCGGCGGACGGGUGAGUAACACGUGGAUAACCUACCUAUAAGACUGGGAUAACUUCGGGAAACCGGAGCUAAUACCGGAUAAUAUUUUGAACCGCAUGGUUCAAAAGUGAAAGACGGUCUUGCUGUCACUUAUAGAUGGAUCCGCGCUGCAUUAGCUAGUUGGUAAGGUAACGGCUUACCAAGGCAACGAUGCAUAGCCGACCUGAGAGGGUGAUCGGCCACACUGGAACUGAGACACGGUCCAGACUCCUACGGGAGGCAGCAGUAGGGAAUCUUCCGCAAAGGGCGAAAGCCUGACGGAGCAACGCCGCGUGAGUGAUGAAGGUCUUCGGAUCGUAAAACUCUGUUAUUAGGGAAGAACAUAUGUGUAAGUAACUGUGCACAUCUUGACGGUACCUAAUCAGAAAGCCACGGCUAACUACGUG
rnacentral:rRNA from 1 species